GUGAGGAGUCACAAUAGAGUGGUGCAGGAACGAGUCCUAAAACCUGGAAGUGAGUUAGCAUUUUACCACUUCCGGUUCCCUCGUCUCAGAGUCAAUGGGAUUCUCCGUAAGAUUUUGGAAAAAAUCUGGAAAUAAGUGGCAAAUCCGUCAGAAGCAGCGGAUCCGUCCAUGGAAGAGGAGGGAGACUGCAUCAUUGUGAUAUUCCCCUGUCCCUGGAGCGGCCGAGCAUCCUUUAUAUCCCUUGAGUCAAGGAGUGACCAGCACGCACACACAACAAACCCCCCCCCCCCCCUUCCCCCCAUCCUCCUUUACCCUGCAUGCCUGGCCCCUCCCCCGUUGGCCAUAUCUUAUGAGCUAUUGGCUGAUGUGCAGGGGAGAGGUUGAUGGCGAUUGGAUGGGUGAUGGAGCGAAACCUGGCUUUACUAUGCAUCAGUGCUCUCCAGGAAAAUACCAGGGUCGGAGAGAGAGGACAAAGAUGACGAUGUGGGAAAUAGAAAUGAUAUGGGGGUGGGAGGGGGAGGGGGAGGGAGGUAAUGGAAGAAGAGAGAGAGAGAGAGAGGGGUAUAUAAAAGAGUAAAAAGACAAGAUGAAAUGCUGGUCACGUAUAAUUUAUCCUCACGCUGAUAUGAUCAUCCUUAUUACUAUCAUUAACAUUCUUGCUGAUAUAGAAAACUAAUAAAUUAUGUCAAAAGGGAGGAGGAACAACCUGUCUCGAUUUCAGUGCCCAUUAGAAUACAACAUGGUGUGUUUGUUUGUUUUGAAUUGUACUGGUGCUGAUAUGCCACUGAAGGAAGUGUGCACAUAAAGUCUUAUCCUAGAUUAUGUCACUUUAAGUAUUUAUUUUGCAGUGUGUAUUGUGUCAUUUGAUGUCUUUGAUUAAUGAAGACGGUAUCAAUAAAGCAAUUUCCUACUUUACCUUUUUUGAA